CCGACCUCCUCGAACUCUACCUCCCCGCCGACCCCUUCUUCGCCCCGCCCCCCAUCCCCUCCCCGCACGCCUUCCUCCUGCACGACCUCACCGACCGCGCCGCAUGUACACCUACGCGGCCACGGAGCCCGGCGGCCGGAAGGUCAAGUGGACGGCGGAGGAGAAGCCGCGCGGCGGGGGCCGGGCGCUCAAGUGGGAGGCGGAGCUCGCCUCCCCGAACGCCGGCCAGGUCUUGCUGCAGGGUAGUGAAGGAUUGACGAGCCAAAUAGAAGGGGCAGUGAGAAAUUGAAGGACCAUGAGCAAUGCUGAGACUUGCUGGUUUAUUAGGUAUGACCAUGAGCAAUGUUGAGAUUUGACGCAAUUCACUCGUUAAACAUACCUAGCACAUUCAAAGUGAUUCAUUGAUUCCUCUUUACUAUGUCAUCGUCACCUAAUAGAAGAUUUUUAUGUAUGCCUAGCACAUUCAAAGUGAUUUUAUUUUUAUUCGAAUUUUAGGAUUGGUUUCAUGUAUUAACUCUUGAUCGGCAAUUUCCAAAAUUUAGUUAAUUAUGGACUCUUUUAGAUAUUUUUACUUGACUCUUUUAGAUUUUGCAGGAAAGAAGAAUGUCAAAUUACCUACUAAUUUUGAUUCUUCAUAUCCAUAUCUGCAGAGAUGCGAAGUAUUUGUUCAGAAAAUAAGAUGGUGCAUAUAUAAAGGUUAGUCUGCAUUUAGUGAUUUAGGGGCAUUGUAUCACUGCACAAAAUAGUUUUUGAUAUUGUUUCAUUAUUAAUUCUGAUUUUCUAUAAAUCAAACCAACAAUUUUAUAUAAAGUGAUUGCAAGUUUUGUUAUUGAUUUCAUACAAAAAACAAACUUGCUAUUGUCUUUUAGUUUAUCAUUUCAUUUAGUUUCAGGGCAACCAUCUCAUUUGCCAUUCACUUUCU